UUUAGUCAGACAGGUAGGAUUCGUAUCGAGGUAUUGUUGUUGAUUUUUCAUUAACUGGUGUGAUGUUGGCAUCAAUGUUUUGGUUGUGCAACAUUACCUGACCGUAAGAGAAGAAAAUAUUGACUUUUAAUGAAUAGUUUGGUCCCUUAUUGUAGAAUAUGUGAAUAGGAUUUUUGGCUUUAUUUGGAAUGACAAGAUGAUAGCGCAAACUGCCACAAAAAGAUUUGAGAAAGAUCUCAAAGAUGUGAUUCAAACUCAAUUUAGUCCUCGGGUCUUUUAGCAGCUUUAUAUAUCAAGCUGGAAAUCAUGGUAUAUGUAAGAAAAUAAUCAGGUAGACAACAAGUUUCAAGCUUUUAUAAUGUUUUAUAAGGCGUGAUGCAUUAAAACUAGGUGUCUGAAUUUCCCUAUAAAAAUUAAAUUGGCUCAAUUCACUAACGUGGUUCUUUUACAUGCCUGAGUAGCGGAUAAAAGAGUUGCAUGCUGGAGAACGUAAAGAGAAGACGCUUCGCUUGAGUGUUGAAGCUGGUGUUGUUCUGGAUUUCAAUGUGAAUUCCUUCUAGAUGAUAAGACCAAUUCAGAGAUUUCGUGAUGAAAGAAUAUGGAAAAAGUCAUGAAAGGAACGCUAUUAUUGUAUAUAGAAGUGUCCUAGGUUUAUCAUGCGACGUUACAGAUCAUCAGCUUGAAGAUGCCUUUAGCCGAUUUGGUAAAAUUAUCCAUUGCCAGUAUGACCAGGACUAUUAUCCCGGAAGGAGAAAAAGGAAAUGAAUUACCAAGAUGAAAUGGUAAAUAGAUUGUGCAUUUGCAGUUGCUGUUGAAAUUCACGCCGUCGUGGUUCCAAUAAUUGUUUCUCAAUUGUAUAAUCUUCACUUUACAAGGUAAAAGUAUAAAGCAUUUCAUUAAACUAAAAGUUAAUGAAGGAAAGCAGAUAAUGGUGAAACUACAAUCCCAACUUCUGUUCAAUUAGUUGUGUUUGAGCAAUUUGCUUAAUAUUUACUCAUUUUAUUGCUUAUAUAGCUGAAUACUUUCCAACAAAACUUUGUUCACAGCAGCCCUAAUAUGUUGAUUUGUGGCCAUAAAAGAAGGAAAUAUUUACUUGAGUUGAAUUAUUGCUUUCAUUGAUCCCCUUUUUAUAAACUUGAUCUCAGGUGAAGAUAUAUAUUGCACCACUUUUAGGUUUUAACCAUGAGCACAUGCAGGAUUGCAGAGAAUCUCAGGCAAAAUUUUGGUCUUUGUGAACUGUUUCUACCAAUUUGUAAAUUUGAGUGAGAUUUUCGUUAAUUGGAUUAGAGUCAUGCAGUGUUCUUAUGCCCUUAUCUACAUAUGUUUUACAAUAAUGUAUAAAGUCUUCAUACAAAUUUGAUGACUUCGUUAGUAUAUACAGAUAGCUGCUCCAGAAUAAAUAUUGUAACGUCUAAAAUAUUGGGCCAUUGAUUAUAUGGAGACAUAUUCUCCUG